GUCCCUGUAGCGCAAUGGUUAGCGCGCUGCACUUCUCCGUCGUGGGUUCGAAAUCCCAUCUGGGAUG